AGUUUUACGUGCGGGUUGUCCCAGCGGGCACUGGCCAGCUGUCAAAAUUUGCGAGUUAUGGGAGAUUUUAUCGAAAUGAAAAAGCUUCUUUGACAUUUUUCCUGGGAAUAUCUGAAAAGGUUGAGGAAUCAGCUAAUCGCCAAAGACACGGGGGCUUUAUGGAAAGUCAUUCGAGUAUAAUUGAAGACCGGUUGUACCCUUGAUGGACAAUUCGAAGAAAAAUUACUGGUGCAACUGGAGUUAUUACUAACUUCUCCGUGAGUUUGUGAGGUGGAUGACGAGAAUCACCUGCAUUUCACUAGAUUUAUGUAGAUAUGAGAUUAUCCAGAGUUGCCUGACGCUCAGCCCCGGUGAAAUUCCUCCACCCUCUUGAUGCCGCCACCUACAACCCCCAGAGGGGAAUGACCCCCCAGGACACUUGAACAAUUUCAACUUUAAAAUUCAUUCCAACACUCCGAUUUCACCCGAAUUUCCAUUCGAAAUCAAUUUGAUAUUCCAUUAUAUUAAUGUCCAACAGUUCGGAUAAUUGAUGGGUAAUAAAC